ACAACAUUCUGACCCUCGGUCUACCGAGCAAUGUCAACCGCUCGGUGGAAGAUCUUCCCUUUGUGGU
rnacentral:pre_miRNA from 1 species